rnacentral:misc_RNA from 1 species
GACGGAGGCUCGAGGCCCAGCCAAUCAGAUAUUGCUAUUGACGCUGUAGAUCCCGAGGAUUGCUGCAUUGAGAUUUCUGGUGCUGGUGCUCGUUUGCGGGCCUCCGCUGCUGGUCAGGACGUUGUUCGGGACCCGGUAAACCAGCCGGCUGUCUGUCCUGAUGAAGAUGUGCGGCCAGCUGACAGUGCUGCCCAUGAUGGUGGGUCCGUCUUGUCUCGGGGAAGUGCAAGAUCAUCACUGGCUUCGACGAAGGCCCAGGAGUCAGCUAGACGAGCUGCUCUGAAAGUGAAGAUGAAGUUCCUAAAAGAAAGGCAGAUGCUGGAGCUUCGUGAGCAGGAACUGAAGAUGAAGAAGGAGGAAUUGAAGCUGCGUGAAGCCCUUGAAGAAUCUGAAGCCUUUGAAGCCGCGCUUUCAGAAAGCGGGCCUAACUCGACUGUUUCAACGGCUGUUGGAGGAACCGGUAACAGCACCCAGGAAAGGAUUUCGCCCAUUUCGAGACCGGCCACUCCCCCUCCGGCACCAGAAGCUAGACGUACCGAGAACGAGGAUCAUCAGGCGAGCUUGAUGAAGAAGUUGCUCACCUCGUGUGUUCUCCCAAAGCCAGACAUUCCCGUGUUCUCAGGCGAUUUUGCCAGAUUCCACCAGUUUUUGAGAGCGUUUGAUGGACGAGUCGCUAGCGUGGUCGUCGAUGAGGAAGAGAAGCUUCGCUAUUUGGAGCAGUUUACGUCUGGUACACCAAGAGACAUCGUACGGGGAUGCAUGUUCAUGAAGACCGGUGGCUAUGAGGAAGCGAAGAGGCUAUUGAUGAAGAGGUAUGGCAACCCUGACCGGAUGGCUGAGUCAUUCAUCGACCGUCUGGUGCACUGGCCACUUGUGAAGGGUGAUGAUGUCGCUGGACUCGACAAGCUCGCGGUGGAGAUGAGAGCCUGUCACAACGCAGUGGACAGUCUGAUGGGAGCCAGCCAUGAGCUGAACCAUCCAAAGACAAUGAAGAAGAUUUUGGAGAAGCUGCCCUUCGCAAUUCAAGAAAAAUGGCGGAGAGAAGUGGACCGUCUGGCAGAAGGAGAGGGAAGGUCUGCACUGUUCUCUGAUCUGGUCAGCUUGAUGGAAGUAGAAGCCAGAAUCGCUUCAAACGCUGCCUUCGGCCGUCAAGUCUUUCUCAAAAAAGACCUAUCAAGAGCCGACAAGUCUCAGGAGACCAAAGUCAAGUGUAAUUACGUCAAAACCAAAGACGCUGAAACCGAAAAGAAGAUAUGUGUAUUGUGCAAGCACGAGCACGACUUGUCUGCGUGCCCAGUUUUUGCAGAGAAAACAUUGGUGGAAAGAGAGAAGCUUGUUCGUCAGCACGCGCUCUGCUUCGGAUGUCUGGAGGCGGGUCACAGGUCCAGAUGGUGUAAGUCCCGUCUGACAUGCAUGGUGUGCGGGAAGGGCCACCCCUCUGUGCUCCAUAGAUACCAGACGGCGACGGUCAGCCACGAUAGCCCGCCGAUGACUCUAUUAAGUGACCAGCGGGCUUCGCAGGCAGCAGUAAACGUCCUCUCUUCUAGAAGAGCAGGACAUUCGGGUGUAAAGAUGCCAAUUGUUCCGGUGAAAGUGAAGUACCAAGGUGGGACUACUGUACAGACUUACGCCCUUCUCGACAGCGGUAGCUCAUCAACCUUCUGCAGUCAGUUGUUGUUGGACAAGCUGGGGGUGCCCACCUCGGCGAAGACCAAACUCUCCGUCAUCACCAUGGCCAGGGACCCGCUCAAAGUCUGGACGGCUCCCGUUGAGGGCUUAUCGAUAUGUGGCAUCGACGAAAGUGACCCCGUUGACUUACCUGAAGUGUUCUCGUUGGGAAGCAUCCCAGCCAGCCGGGAGGAGGUCUGUAGAGUUGACGAUCUCUCUGACUGGCCACGCCUGCAGGAAGUCGUCCCGCCUGACAUAGACGCUGACGUAGGACUCUUGAUUGGCGUAAACGUCCCCGCUGCUCUGGAGCCUGUCGACUUCAUCAAGAGUCGUGACGGCGGCCCUUUCGCGGUAAAAACCAGGCUUGGAUGGAUGGUCCAAGGCCGAGUUCGAUACUUGAAACCGACGCAGCCGAAGAGCACCACGAAUCGCAUCAAAGUGGAGCCCCAGCAGCUUCAUCUGGACGGGAGCCUGGCUACUGGAGAACGACACUUGUCUGUUGAAGAUCCUCGAUGGCGGAGCGGUGACACAGUUCAGCCGCCAGAGGUACGCCUGAGGAACGUUCUCCCCUUCGGCGCCAGGUCCUCACCCGGAGUAGCUGACUGUGCUCUGCGGCAGGCUGCGGAAGCCAGUGGUGAAAGAAGUUCGUGGUUGAAGCCAGAUAAAACAUUGGAGACUGAAGAUGCUGUUGUGAUCGCUGACAGUGGCCUUCAAAGGAUCCAGCGACCACUGGGUCGCGUGAUAGAAAGGCGUGCUAGCCAGGACGGACUGGUGAGAAGUGUUAAGGUGAAAACGAAAGGAAGGGAGAUGUGGCGCCCAGUCACGAAGCUGGUGUCAUUGUGCUAGGCGCCAGCUGAGCGAGGACGCUGUGCCAGAUGGUCUCUGUGCCAGUUCGAUUGAGGCAAUCUGCGUUGCGCAAGGUACUUGUUGAUUUGGGGAAAUGCAAACGUGCGCACUGCCUCUUCAUGUUCCCCUUGUGUUCUCGUUUUGUAUGUUCGGCCUUGAAGACCGAACGGGGAGGGUGUAGCGGCGCCGAGGCGCCGAAGAUGCGCACGACUCCGGGGUGCAAGCGCCGUCGGUGUCACAAUCAUGUGCAUUUUGCGUUUAUUGUGCCAUUUAACAGAAAGUUGUUUUUGUUGUUCAGCUAAAAUGUGCCAAAAGCUGUUUUUCAUCAAGUUUGAUUGUCAAUUGUAAUUUUAGCUUUAUUUCGCUAAAAAGGUUGUCUAAACGAUUAACGUAAAUAUGUCCGUUUUUGGCCGCUACAUUGUUAAGCGGUAUCUCCACGUCCUGUCUGCGCUGUGAUUUGCGAUACAGUCGAAACCAUUGCAUUGCAUUGCAUUGCAUUGCCUGACAUCGCAUUAGAAGAGAAUAUAAAUUGGUAUCACGAACAGGCAGCGAUGCGUUUAAGACGACGCGAGGAGCGCAGGCGGGAACACUAGUCAUUCCACAUUUCUGUGCACAUAUGACAAUUUAACCUGCCAGACCUUCUAUUCCUAGCCCCUACUGUCCCUAGUCACCCUCUAGUAUCAUGUGACCACACUCCACGCCUCCGUGAGCCAUUCUAUUCAGUGACCACCGCCGUGCUGUACCGCCCAGCGCGACCUCUGUGGAGUGCUGAGCUCAGCAGAGACACUGGCGCCGUGCUGGGGCGGAGCGUGUCGCCCGGCUGCAGUGGCGCCGCUGACACCUGCGACUGGUGGCAACGCCUUUUUGCUCCUUCAACAAGUCCACCAAUCCCUCGUCUAGCAUCAGUCGUAUUUCGGAGAUCAGUCUGAACUACCAGACCCCGCACAGUCCGGUAGCCGACUGUCUUCCUCUCGUGGUUCCCUGAGAGCGCCGCCGGCCGGCUGCUGCGUCUCCCAGACCCGGCGCC